GUGCUCACUUCAGCAGCACAUAUACUAAAAUUGGAACCAUGCAGAAGAUUGACAUGGCCACUGCUCUAGGAUGACAUGCAAAUUUGUGAAGCAUUCUGUAUUCUU
ensembl:snRNA U6 U6 spliceosomal RNA